rnacentral:rRNA from 1 species
CAACUUUCAACAACGGAUCUCUUGGCUCUCGCAUCGAUGAAGAACGCAGCGAAUUGCGAUAAGUAAUGUGAAUUGCAGAAUUGCGUGAAUCAUCGAAUCUUUGAACGCAUAUUGCACUCUCUGGUAAUCCGGGGAGUAUGCCUGUUUGAGGGUCA